rnacentral:rRNA from 1 species
GAUGAACGCUGGCGGCGUGCCUAAUACAUGCAAGUCGAGCGAACAGACGAGGAGCUUGCUCCUCUGACGUUAGCGGCGGACGGGUGAGUAACACGUGGAUAACCUACCUAUAAGACUGGGAUAACUUCGUGAAACCGGAGCUAAUACCGGAUAAUAUAUUGAACCGCAUGGUUCAAUAGUGAAAGACGGUUUUGCUGUCACUUAUAGAUGGAUCCGCGCCGCAUUAGCUAGUUGGUAAGGUAACGGCUUACCAAGGCAACGAUGCGUAGCCGACCUGAGAGGGUGAUCGGCCACACUGGAACUGAGACACGGUCCAGACUCCUACGGGAGGAAGCAGUAGGGAAUCUUCCGCAAUGGGCGAAAGCCUGACGGAGCAACGCCGCGUGAGUGAUGAAGGUCUUCGGCUCGUAAAACUCUGUUAUUAGGGAAGAACAAAUGUGUAAGUAACUAUGAACGUCUUGACGGUACCUAAUCAGAAAGCCACGGCUAACUACGUG